rnacentral:rRNA from 1 species
AUUGAACGCUGGCGGCAGGCCUAACACAUGCAAGUCGAGCGAGCGGCGGACGGGUGCGUAAUGUCUGGGAAACUGACUGAUGGAGGGGGAUAACUACUGGAAACGGUAGCUAAUACCGCAUACCAUCAGAUGUGCCCAGAUGGGAUUAGCUAGUAGGUGGGGUAACGGCUCACCUAGGCGACGAUCACUCGCUGGUCUGAGAUGAUGACCAGCCACACUGGAACUGAGACCAGGGCCAGACUCCUAAGUGAGGCAGCAGUGGGGAAGAUUGCACAAUGGGCGCAAGCCUGAUGCAGCCAUGCCGCGGGUGUGAAGAAGGCCUUCGGGUUGUAAAGCACUUUCAGCGGGGAGGCGUUACACGCAGAAGAAGCACCGGCUAACUCCGUGCCAGCAGCCGCGGUAAUAC